AUUUUUAUAGUUUAUAUUCUAAAACAUGACACUGAAAAUGUCAAAAAAUUAAUUUUAAAAAUA
rnacentral:tRNA from 1 species